CAAUUCUUUGCAGUUUCUAACUAGCCUCUUUCUCUUCCAAAACCCUUCCUCUUAUUGUUCCAAAGACGUUUCCAAAUCGUUUUCUCUUUCACACUCGGCUCUCUUCACAUUUCAGAACGAAUCUCCUUCCUCUCUCUCCAAGCCAAAACAGCGGCGCCUCCAUUCUCCUUCUCCGACGAACUGCUCCGAUUCAUCUCCUCUGAUAGUCUUCCGCCUCCGUUCAUCGGUUUGAUUAUGUUGCCGAGCGGUUUCGUUCGCGUUUGAACCUGUGUUGUUCAGUUUUGAAUGUUUGAUGAUGAUGAACGUUGAGUUGAAACAACUCUGAAUCAGCAAAGCUGGGUGAGAUCUUUUCGAGUUUAUGUUAUUUUAUCUUUAAUCUCUCUUCUUCUCCUGCUUUAUUUUCUCCAUUCAAAUGUGAUUUAGGUGUAUUAAUGUUGCUUAAUUUAGUUUUAUUUUUGGAAUGAAUUAAUAGGCCACCAAGUGUUUGUUAUAAUGAUUGAAGAUUGUUGGAGAAUGGAAGAGAACCGAUUCGAGAUUGAAGGUGUUAUGAGGUGAGUUUUCUGUUAUGGAAGUUUGUUACCGAUAUUCUUAUGGUUUUUUUUAUUUCUUUAUAUAGAUUGAAAUCGGUGAUGGUGAUUAUAGAGAGAAAUGUGGAGAUAUGGAGGAGGAUUCAGGAAUCGCGGUGGUGAGAGAAAGAUGAUUUGAAGAGAGGUUGUUACAAAUCUGUUAGAAGUUUUUCUUUGACAUAGUGGUGCCCAUGACAUAGAAGGAAAUGAACUUCCAAGGUUGGUUUAUGUUUGCAGAGAGAAAAGGCCAGUUUACACCCACCACUAAAAGACUGGUGCUGAAAAUGCACUGGCAACAAUGUGAAAUAUGAGCAUGUUGACCAAGUUUGCACCCCAAAGAGUGAAAAUCAAGAUAGAUGAUUGACCUCAUGAUGUGCUUAUAAACAAUCGGACAUGGAUACUGCCAACAAAAUCCAUAGGCUGGAAAACCAUAAGUUGCCGAGAUUAUGGAGUUGAGGAGCAAA